rnacentral:rRNA from 1 species
UACAGAGGUCCCGAGCGUUGUUCGGAUUCAUUGGGCGUAAAGGGUGCGUAGGCGGCUUCCUAAGUUUGAUGUGAAAUCCUGGGGCUCAACCCUGGAAUUGCAUUGAAUACUGGGAGGCUAGAGUACUGGAGAGGAAACUGGAAUUUACGGUGUAGCAGUGAAAUGCGUAGAGAUCGUAAGGAAGACCAGUGGCGAAGGCGAGUUUCUGGACAGUUACUGACGCUGAUGCGCGAAAGCCAGGGGAGCAAACGGG